ACCAAGGAAGAUGUUGAGAAGAUUAUUGACUGGGAAAAAACAUCUCCUAAACAAGUCGAGAUCCCGUUUAAACCGGCUCGUGUUCUUCUACAGGACUUUACUGGAGUCCCAGCUGUUGUUGACCUUGCUUGUAUGCGUGAUGCGAUGAACAAGCUGGGCAGUGAUUCCAACAAAAUUAAUCCCUUGGUUCCGGUGGAUCUUGUAAUUGACCACUCAGUUCAAGUUGAUGUUGCUCGGUCUGAAAACGCAGUGCAAGCAAACAUGGAGCUUGAGUUCCAGAGGAACAAGGAAAGGUUUGCUUUCCUUAAAUGGGGUUCUACUGCGUUCCAGAACAUGCUUGUUGUGCCUCCUG